UUUUACCCUAGCAAAGUCAUGAGCAUUACGUUGUUUCAUCUUAGUGCCAUGACGUCACGAUAUCUAUAUUGAAAAAAUCAAUAUUUCUUUUAUAUUUCACAUGGUGGAACGUAUUUCUUUAUGUUCAUGUUUUUAUCUGUAUCUUUAUUGGAGGGUAUUUUCCAAAAAAUGUCAAAUUACUUAAAAUUCAUAUUCUUUCACAUUUAAGUGUAGUUCCGUACCAGUGAAAAAUAAAAAUGAUAAUUUCAAACAGUGAAAAUAUCAAUCUCACUGGUACAUUCCAAUAUUUCACAGAAAAGAAUUGUGAUGAUAAUGAUGUGAUGAUGGAGAUAACGGUUAUGAGAGAUCAUUGACGAUGAUGAGGAGAAAAGUUGUUUUUGUAAAGGAUUGUCGUAAAUAUCAAUGAGACAAAAAUUUAGUCUAUACGAUAUAUAUUAGUGAAAACUCUCAAACACUUGAAAUAUGAUAUAUAUUUUGUUUCGCUUCGCCGAUCUUGCACUAGACAAAUGAGGUAGAUUCUAUCUAUAUGUCAUAUAAAAAUCAGCAGUAUUUCAUGCACAUUGUUGAUAAACCUUUCAACGGAAGUUACCAUAUCAAUCGCCCAUUUAGACAGCCUUUAGUGCACAAUAUCAACGAUAAUAUAGAUAUUUUUAUUAUAUUUGAUAGUUUUGCAAAUAUGUCUUGGAAUUAUAUGCCGUUAGCCUAGAUAUAUUUACAAAUUAUCAUCUUUUGUAGACAAGGACACCUAACCAGAAACAUACCAGAACAGACAUACGAGUUGCAAGAUGUGGAACAGGAGAAUGUAAGACUUGAUGUUUUGCCGAAUAUAACAUCAACGAUAGAACACCAUGGUGAAGUUUCCGGACGGAAAUGCUAAAAGCCGAAUAUAGCAGCGACAAUUCUGUCUAUGAGAAUUCAUCAUCCCUGUUUAUCGUGGGCUCAAUGCGAAACUGCUCCGAGUGUCAUCUUUUCAGAAAAUUAUUUGUUUACAUAUAUAUGUACUACUCGUACUUGUUCCAAUACAUAAACUGGGAAAUUGUUAGACUAAUAUCUGAAUAUUUUUCUAUUUUAUUUAAAAUGUGGCCUUUUGUUCUGUCUCGGUAAGCAAACUAAUUGCCCCGCAAAACUUUUCCAAGUAAAUGCCUGUAAAUGAAAAAAAUGUUUGCAUUUCAAGAUGAAAACUAUGUAUUUAUAUAUUCUAAGUUUAUUUAUAAUUUUGACAGUGACUUUAUUCUGACUUACAAUUGUCUAAUCGUACUGAUUUGUUGUAUGUGUCAUAUUAUGUACGGUCCAAGGCUGAGGAACCUCCAUCAAAUAAUUCAUUUGUAGGAUCUUGUAAUUUGUGUUGAACCAGUUAAGUCAAUACAGCUGUAAGAAAGAUUAUCAAAUAUAAUUUAUUUCAUAAAAAUGUUUCUGAAAUGUUGUCAGGAUUACUGCAUGUGGAAUAAUGUAUGUUUGACUGAGAAACAUUGACUAAAAUGUACAUGUACUACUUCUCAUGCAAAAAAGAAUAAAAAAUAAAAAAAAUACAAACGAACAAACAAACAAACAAAAACAAAACUCUUCAAAGCUCAAUACACUGCUUGUAGAAAGAAUUUUACUGUUGUAGUUCAACUUGCCAAACGAAAAUACUGGGCCACUCUUAAAGAAGAAAUGUUGAACGAAGUAGAACAGAAUAAUUGUGCGUUUUGGAAAUAUGUGGGUAAAACUGGUAUUCACUCCAAUAAAGUUAACAUCAAUCGCUUUGAAAUUGUAUGUGACGAUGGGUCUUUAAGUAAUUAUCCUAACCAGGUUCUACAGCUUAGAAACAAAGUUUUGAAAUAUUACAUAAUACGUGUUUCAUCUUCCAGUACUUAUAACAUUAAAGAAAAUGUAAAUGAAUGUUCAUUUAAUGUAUACACAGCAUGAUGAUACUUCUGCUGCACAAUUAAACAGUAAUAUUUCUAUUCUAGAGGAUGAUAAAGCAGUAUUAAUAGCAGGAAUAAAUAAAGUCUGU